rnacentral:misc_RNA from 1 species
GGGAAGCGAAGGUGGAGUGGACGGAGACGUCGGAUUCCGACGCUGUCUUGGAGAGAACCAUGGUGAAGAGAGAGAGAGUGAAAGAGAACGCUAGAGAGGUGAGAUGUGAGAGAGGCAGCCGGGAAUCUUGGGGGUAGACUAUAUAUAAACUUGGAUUUUGCGUUGAUUGGGAAAGACAGUUGGAUUUUAUUUUCUCCCCUUUCGGUAGGAGGAAAAGAAAAUUUAAUUA